GCAAUACACGAGUGGCGCACGGGUGAGUAACGCGUGGAUAUCUGCCUUUUGGUUCGGAAUAACCCCGGGAAACUGGGGCUAAUACCGAAUGGUUCCUACGGGAUAAAGAUUUAUCGCCAAAAGAUGAGUCCGCGUACGAUUAGCUAGUUGGUGAGGUAAUGGCUCACCAAGGCGACGAUCGUUAGCUGGUCUGAGAGGACGAUCAGCCACACUGGGACUGAGACACGGCCCAGACUCCUACGGGAGGCAGCAGUGGGGAAUAUUGGACAAUGGGGGCAACCCUGAUCCAGCCAUGCCGCGUGAGUGAUGAAGGCCUUCGGGUUGUAAAGCUCUUUUGGCGGGGACGAUGAUGACGGUACCCGCAGAAUAAGCCCCGGCUAACUUCGUGCCAGCAGCCGCGGUAAGACGAAGGGGGCUAGCGUUGUUCGGAAUUACUGGGCGUAAAGCGAGUGUAGGCGGUUGUCCAAGUUGGAUGUGAAAGCCUUGAGCUUAACUCAAGAAAUGCAUUCAGGACUGGAUGACUAGAGUGCCGGAGAGGAUAGUGGAAUUCCCAGUGUAGUGGUGAAAUACGUAGAGAUUGGGAAGAACACCAGUGGCGAAGGCGGCUAUCUGGACGGUUACUGACGCUA
rnacentral:rRNA from 1 species